GAUGAACGCUAGCGGCAGGCUUAAUACAUGCAAGUCGAGGGGCAUCAAGGUACACGAAAAGUGUAUUGUUGGCGACCGGCGGACGGGUGAGUAAUAGGUAGGUAACCUACCUCAUACUGAGGCAUAGCUGGGAGAAAUUCCAGGUAAUUCCUCAUGAGGUUAUAUGACACAUGUGAUAUAAUCAAAGGUAUCGCAAGGUACUGGUAUGAGAUGGGCUUACUGACCAUUAGCUAGUUGGUGAGAUAAGAGCUCACCAAGGCGAAGAUGGUUAGGGGUUUUGAGAGAGAGAUCCCCCACAUUGGAACUGAGAUACGGUCCAGACUCCUACGGGAGGCAGCAGUAGGGAAUAUUGGGCAAUGGGCGGAAGCCUGACCCAGCCAUGCCGCGUGAAGGAGACGGCCUUAUGGGUUGUAAACUUCUUUUACUAUGCGACUAACUAGAUUUACGAGAUAAUUUCUAUAGAAUGUAGUCAUAGACAAAAGCACCGGAC
rnacentral:rRNA from 1 species